UACGAAGGGGGCUAGCGUUGUUCGGAUUUACUGGGCGUAAAGCGCACGUAGGCGGAUUGUUAAGUCAGGGGUGAAAUCCUGGAGCUCAACUCCAGAACUGCCUUUGAUACUGGAGAGCUUGAGUCCGGAAGAGGUGAGUGGAACUCCGAGUGUAGAGGUGAAAUUCGUAGAUAUUCGGAAGAACACCCGUGGCGAAGGCGGCUCUCUGGAACGCAACUGACGCUGAGACGCGAAAGCGUGGGGAGCAAACAGG
rnacentral:rRNA from 1 species